UUAAGUUAGAAAGGGCGCACGGUGGAUGCCUUGACACUAGGAGUCGAUGAAGGACGGGACUAACGCCGAUAUGCUUCGGGGAGCUGUAAGUAAGCUUUGAUCCGAAGAUUUCCGAAUGGGGAAACCCACCAUACGUAAUGGUAUGGUAUCCUUAUCUGAAUACAUAGGGUAAGGAAGACAGACCCAGGGAACUGAAACAUCUAAGUACCUGGAGGAAGAGAAAGCAAAUGCGAUUUCCUGAGUAGCGGCGAGCGAAACGGAACAUAGCCCAAACCAAGAGGCUUGCCUCUUGGGGUUGUAGGACAUUCUAUACGGAGUUACAAAGGAACGAGGUAGACGAAGCGACCUGGAAAGGUCCGUCGUAGAGGGUAACAACCCCGUAGUCGAAACUUCGUUCUCUCUUGAAUGUAUCCUGAGUACGGCGGAACACGUGAAAUUCCGUCGGAAUCUGGGAGGACCAUCUCCCAAGGCUAAAUACUCCCUAGUGAUCGAUAGUGAACCAGUACCGUGAGGGAAAGGUGAAAAGCACCCCGGAAGGGGAGUGAAAGAGAUCCUGAAACCGUGUGCCUACAAAUAGUCAGAGCCCGUUAACGGGUGAUGGCGUGCCUUUUGUAGAAUGAACCGGCGAGUUACGAUCCCGUGCGAGGUUAAGCUGAAGAGGCGGAGCCGCAGCGAAAGCGAGUCUGAAUAGGGCGUUUAGUACGUGGUCGUAGACCCGAAACCAGGUGAUCUACCCAUGUCCAGGGUGAAGUUCAGGUAACACUGAAUGGAGGCCCGAACCCACGCACGUUGAAAAGUGCGGGGAUGAGGUGUGGGUAGCGGAGAAAUUCCAAUCGAACCUGGAGAUAGCUGGUUCUCCCCGAAAUAGCUUUAGGGCUAGCCUUAAGUGUAAGAGUCUUGGAGGUAGAGCACUGAUUGGACUAGGGGUCCUCAUCGGAUUACCGAAUUCAGUCAAACUCCGAAUGCCAAUGACUUAUCCUUAGGAGUCAGACUGCGAGUGAUAAGAUCCGUAGUCAAAAGGGAAACAGCCCAGACCGCCAGCUAAGGUCCCAAAGUGUGUAUUAAGUGGAAAAGGAUGUGGAGUUGCUUAGACAACUAGGAUGUUGGCUUAGAAGCAGCCACCAUUUAAAGAGUGCGUAAUAGCUCACUAGUCGAGUGACUCUGCGCCGAAAAUGUACCGGGGCUAAAUACACCACCGAAGCUGCGGAUUGAUACCAAUGGUAUCAGUGGUAGGGGAGCGUUCUAAGGACAGUGAAGUCAGACCGGAAGGACUGGUGGAGUGCUUAGAAGUGAGAAUGCCGGUAUGAGUAGCGAAAGACGGGUGAGAAUCCCGUCCACCGAAUGCCUAAGGUUUCCUGAGGAAGGCUCGUCCGCUCAGGGUUAGUCAGGACCUAAGCCGAGGCCGACAGGCGUAGGCGAUGGACAACAGGUUGAUAUUCCUGUACCACCUCUUUAUCGUUUGAGCAAUGGAGGGACGCAGAAGGAUAGAAGAAGCGUGCGAUUGGUUGUGCACGUCCAAGCAGUUAGGCUGAUAAGUAGGCAAAUCCGCUUAUCAUAAAGGCUGAGCUGUGAUGGGGAAGCUCCUUAUGGAGCGAAGUUUUUGAUUCCCCGCUGCCAAGAAAAGCUUCUAGCGAGAUAAAAGGUGCCUGUACCGCAAACCGACACAGGUAGGCGAGGAGAGAAUCCUAAGGUGUGCGAGAGAACUCUGGUUAAGGAACUCGGCAAAAUGACCCCAUAACUUCGGGAGAAGGGGUGCUUUCUUAACGGAAAGCCGCAGUGAAUAGGCCCAAGCGACUGUUUAGCAAAAACACAGCUCUCUGCGAAGCCGUAAGGCGAAGUAUAGGGGGUGACACCUGCCCGGUGCUGGAAGGUUAAGGAGAGGGGUUAGCGUAAGCGAAGCUCUGAACUGAAGCCCCAGUAAACGGCGGCCGUAACUAUAACGGUCCUAAGGUAGCGAAAUUCCUUGUCGGGUAAGUUCCGACCCGCACGAAAGGUGUAACGAUUUGGGCACUGUCUCAACCAGAGACUCGGUGAAAUUAUAGUACCUGUGAAGAUGCAGGUUACCCGCGACAGGACGGAAAGACCCCGUGGAGCUUUACUGUAGCCUGAUAUUGAAUUUUGGUACAGUUUGUACAGGAUAGGCGGGAGCCAUUGAAACCGGAGCGCUAGCUUCGGUGGAGGCGCUGGUGGGAUACCGCCCUGACUGUAUUGAAAUUCUAACCUACGGGUCUUAUCGACCCGGGAGACAGUGUCAGGUGGGCAGUUUGACUGGGGCGGUCGCCUCCUAAAGUGUAACGGAGGCGCCCAAAGGUUCCCUCAGAAUGGUUGGAAAUCAUUCGUAGAGUGCAAAGGCAUAAGGGAGCUUGACUGCGAGACCUACAAGUCGAGCAGGGACGAAAGUCGGGCUUAGUGAUCCGGUGGUUCCGCAUGGAAGGGCCAUCGCUCAACGGAUAAAAGCUACCCCGGGGAUAACAGGCUUAUCUCCCCCAAGAGUCCACAUCGACGGGGAGGUUUGGCACCUCGAUGUCGGCUCAUCGCAUCCUGGGGCUGUAGUCGGUCCCAAGGGUUGGGCUGUUCGCCCAUUAAAGCGGUACGCGAGCUGGGUUCAGAACGUCGUGAGACAGUUCGGUCCCUAUCCGUCGUGGGCGUAGGAAAUUUGAGAGGAGCUGUCCUUAGUACGAGAGGACCGGGAUGGACGCACCGCUGGUGUACCAGUUGUUCUGCCAAGGGCAUAGCUGGGUAGCUAUGUGCGGAAGGGAUAAGUGCUGAAAGCAUCUAAGCAUGAAGCCCCCCUCAAGAUGAGAUUUCCCAUAGCGUAAGCUAGUAAGAUCCCUGAAAGAUGAUCAGGUUGAUAGGUUCGAGGUGGAAGCAUGGUGACAUGUGGAGCUGACGAAUACUAAUAGAUCGAGGACUUAACCAU
rnacentral:rRNA from 1 species